rnacentral:rRNA from 1 species
UACGUAGGGUGCGAGCGUUAAUCGGAAUUACUGGGCGUAAAGCGCAUGUAGGCGGGUCGUUAAGUUGGGGGUGAAAUCCCGAGGCUCAACCUCGGAACUGCCUUCAAAACUGGCGACCUGGAGCAAGAUAGAGGCAAGUGGAAUUGCGAGUGUAGAGGUGAAAUUCGUAGAUAUUCGCAGGAACACCAGUGGCGAAGGCGACUUGCUGGAUCUUUGCUGACGCUGAGAUGCGAAAGCGUGGGGAGCAAACAGG